rnacentral:rRNA from 1 species
GACGAACGCUGGCGGCGUGCCUAAUACAUGCAAGUUGAGCGAUGAAGAUUGGUGCUUGCACCAAUUUGCAGAGCAGCGAACGGGUGAGUAACGCGUGGGGAAUCUGCCUUUGAGCGGGGGACAACAUUUGGAAACGAAUGCUAAUACCGCAUAACAACUUUAAACAUAAGUUUUAAGUUUGAAAGAUGCAAUUGCAUCACUCAAAGAUGAUCCCGCGUUGUAUUAGCUAGUUGGUGAGGUAAAGGCUCACCAAGGCGAUGAUACAUAGCCGACCUGAGAGGUUGAUCGGCCACAUUGGGACUGAGACACGGCCCAAACUCCUACGGGAGGCAGCAGUAGGGAAUCUUCGGCAAUGGACGAAAGUCUGACCGAGCAACGACGCGUGAGUGAAGAAGGUUUUCGGAUCGUAAAACUCUGUUGGUAGAGAAGAACGUUGGUGAGAGUGGAAAGCUCAUCAAGUGACGGUAACUACCCAGAAAGGGACGGCUAACUACGUG